rnacentral:rRNA from 1 species
UCCUCCCUCUGGCGGCGUGCUUAACACAUGCAAGUCGAACGGAAAGGCCCUGCUUUUGUGGGGUGCUCGAGUGGCGAACGGGUGAGUAACACGUGAGUAACCUGCCCUUGACUUUGGGAUAACUUCAGGAAACUGGGGCUAAUACCGGAUAGGAGCUCCUGCUGCAUGGUGGGGUUGGAAAGUUUCGGCGGUUGGGGAUGGACUCGCGGCUUAUCAGCUUGUUGGUGGGGUAGUGGCUUACCAAGGCUUUGACGGGUAGCCGGCCUGAGAGGGUGACCGGCCACAUUGGGACUGAGAUACGGCCCAGACUCCUACGGGAGGCAGCAGUGGGGAAUAUUGCACAAUGGGCGGAAGCCUGAUGCAGCAACGCCGCGUGCGGGAUGACGGCCUUCGGGUUGUAAACCGCUUUCGCCUGUGACGAAGCGUGAGUGACGGUAAUGGGUAAAGAAGCACCGGCUAACUACGUG